rnacentral:rRNA from 1 species
UAGCUGCGAGAACUAAUGUGAAUUGCAGGACACAUUGAUCAUCGACACUUCGAACGCACCUUGCGGCCCCGGGUUCCUCCCGGGGCUACGCCUGUCUGAGGGUCGCU